GCUUCAUGUUUUUAUUAUAUUAUUUUAAAAGUUGAACUAAAUAAAAAAUAUAAUCAAAUAUUUGGCUGGGGCGGCAUGUUUAAAAAUUUAGUUAACUUCUCUUAUAAAAACAUUUAUUAAUGAAAUUAACAGAUCCUUUUUAAAGAUUAAAAGAUAAG
rnacentral:rRNA from 1 species